rnacentral:lncRNA from 1 species
UGUAAAACGCACUCACUCGUAAAAACAUAUUUGAGGUAAAAGUGUGAGAUAGAGCAUAAAAUGCACUCACAUGGAAAAAAAUUGUGGAUAUAUAUAGAGUAAACAUGUAUAAGUUUACUAGCUUGGUUGAAGGAGCAAAAGAGUAAGGUUAAACAAAGCAUAAUUUAUGAAUCAAUAUUAAAGACACAGAGAGGGAACUUAUAUGUUGAAAUUAUGCAAAUUUUGUUUGGUGGUAUAAGAGCAAAUAAUCUAUUUAUAUUUUACAAAAUUCUUUUUAAAUUUUCAACUAACUAACAAUUAGAAUAAAGGAAUAGAAUUUUGAUACUAUCAAG